rnacentral:misc_RNA from 1 species
GAUCAUUACCGAGUACAACUCGCCAACCCACUGUGAACAUACCUCAGUUGCUUCGGCGGACCCGCCCCGGCGCCCUCGGGCCCGGACCAGGCGCCCGCCGGAGGACCCCAAACCACUGAAUUACCAUGUGUAUCUUCUGAGCAAAGGCGAAAGCCGAAAAUGAAUUAAAACUUUCAACAACGGAUCUCUUGGUUCUGGCAUCGAUGAAGAACGCAGCGAAAUGCGAUAAGUAAUGUGAAUUGCAGAGCUCAGUGAACCAUCGAAUUUUUGAACGCACAUUGCGCCCGCCAGCACUCUGGCGGGCAUGCCUGUCCGAGCGUCAUUUCAACCCCUCGGGCCCCCUUCACGGGGCGGCCCGGUGUUGGGGAUCGCCCGCCCCCCGCGGCGGGCGUCCCCCAAAUCCAGUGGCGGACCUUCCGCGCCUCCCCUGCGUAGUACUGCACCUCGCACCGGAGCGCGCUGGGGCCCUGCCGUAAAACCCCCCACUUCUCAAGGUUGACCUCGGAUCAGGUAGGAAUACCCGCUGAACUUAAGCAUAUCA